rnacentral:rRNA from 1 species
UAAUACGUAGGGAGCAAGCGUUGUUCAGAUUUACUGGGCGUAAAGCGUGCGUAGGCGGUUAUAUAAGUCAAAGGUGAAAUCUCCACUUUUAAGGUGGAAACUGCCUUUGAUACUGUAUAACUAGAGGGCAAGAGGGGGAAAUGGAACUCUGGGAGUAGCGGUGAAAUGCGUAGAUAUCCAGAGGAAGGCCGGUAGCGAAGGCGAUUUCCUGGCUUGCAUCUGACGCUGAGGCACCAAAGCUAGGGGAGCGAUCGGGAUUAGAGACCCCGGUAGUCCUAGCCCUAAACGAUGGGUACUAAGUGUGGGGGGAGCAUUACCCUCCGUGCUGAAGUUAACACGUUAAGUACCCCGCCUGGGGAUUACGGUCGCAAGACUG